rnacentral:rRNA from 1 species
CCUACGGGCGGCUGCAGUGGGGAAUAUUGGACAAUGGUGGGAACCCUGAUCCAGCGACGCCGCGUGAGUGAAGAAGUAUUUCGGUAUGUAAAGCUCUAUCAGCAGGGAAGAAAAUGACGGUACCUGACUAAGAAGCCCCGGCUAACUACGUGCCAGCAGCCGCGGUAAUACGGAGGGGGCAAGCGUUAUCCGGAGUUACCGGGUGUAAAGGGAGCGUAGUCGGUUGAGCAAGUCUGAUGUGAAAGGGCGGGGCCCAACCCCGGACCUGCAUGGGAAACUGUGACGCGGGAGUGCAGGAGAGGUAAGCGGAAUUCCUGGUGUAGCGGUGAAAUGCGUAGAUAUCAGGAGGAACACCGGUGGCGAAGGCGGCUUACUGGACUGUAACUGACGUUGAGGCUCGAAAGCGUGGGGAGCGAACAGGAUUAGAUACCCGAGUAGUC